UACAGAGGGUGCAAGCGUUGUUCGGAAUUACUGGGCGUAAAGGGCGCGUAGGUGGUCUUGUCAGUCAGACGUGAAAUCCCCGGGCUUAACUCGGGAACUGCGUCUGAUACUACAAGACUUGAGUUCGGGAGAGGGAUGUGGAAUUCCAGGUGUAGCGGUGAAAUGCGUAGAUAUCUGGAGGAACACCGGUGGCGAAGGCGGCAUCCUGGACCGAAACUGACACUGAGGCGCGAAAGCCAGGAGAGCAAACGGG
rnacentral:rRNA from 1 species